GAGGACGCCAAACCAACACUCCGCAGAAUGUGGAAACGGUUUUGUGGUCUGUGGGGGAAAAAUCAUGGGGACGCCCAACCUGUACCAGUCUGAGCGUGCUUCUCAUUUCCG